CCUGAGUCCAGAGGGCCCCUCCUGCCCGCCACGUUUCCUUCCUGCUGGGGGGCUUCUGUUCUCCCAGACCGGGUCGGUGCUCUUUUCCCCCGGCGCCCCUCCCCCACCCAGCCCGGGCCUUGCCUGCCGCAGCCACCUUCUUCUCUGAUGCUGUGUCCUGGACUUGGUGACAAUGGCAAAUUGACAAGAAGGCGAGCCUGGGCCUUUCCUGCGGCGACAUCCAGCUUCCCCCGCCCCUCCCUGGGUGGGUGCCCACCACACGCCCAGCCUGCCGCGUGCUUAUCCAGGCCCUCCAGGCCAGGCCUCCGGGUCUUAUGGAAGAAGGCCCCGUGUCUGGGCAGUGCCGUGGCUGUGAGUGAGCAUCCGGGGCCAGUCAGAUGUGCCGUCUCCGGAGGUCACUUCCAUAGUGGCCAUCAACAGCUUGGCCAAACUCGGCCGCAGGAUCUUUUCCUAUCAAUUGCAGGAUGGACUCUUCCCGCAGCCAUGCGACCUGUGGCCCGCGGUCCUGCUCCCUGAGCUGGAGGAGGCUGAACAGAAUGAGCAGGUUGAGGCCUGUGGGAAGGAAGAGCCACAUCUCCUUCAUGUUUAUUACCCCCUCCGCAGGCCAUAGCUAGGAGGCCUUGAAGGUUUUUUUAAGGGGGAAAGGGGGUUUCCAGAACCACAGCCGGCUCAGCAGAAAGUCUCCACCAACAGAAUCUGUGGGCGCACAUUCCUCAACAGCUGAAGAAGGGGCUGGAGGGGCUCAUGGCAUCCCCUCCAGAGGCAGGCCCAGGGCCCUGUGUGCAGUGGGGGGUCCUGCAUCUGCAUUGUUGUUAAGAAAGUGACAUUUGGCUACAUGGAGUGACUCAUGCCUGUAAUCCCAGCACUUUGGGAGGCUGAAGCUGUCAGAUUGCUUGGGCCCAGGAGUUCGAGAUCAGCCUGGGCAACUUGGUGAAACCUCAUUUCUUUUUUUUUGAGACAGGGUCUCACUCUGUAGCCAAGACUGGAGUGCAGUGGCACAAUCUCGGCUCACCGCAACCUCCACUUCCCAGGCUCAAGUGAUUCUCCUGACUCAGCCUCCCGAGUAGCUGGGAUUACAGGUGUGCACCACCACGCCUGACUAAUUUUUGUAUUGUUAGUAGAGACGGGGUUUCACCAUGUUGGCCAGGUUGGUGUUGAACUCCUGACUUCAAAUGAUCCACCUGCCUUGGCCUCCCAAAGUGCUGGGAUUACAGGCCUGAGCCACUGCGCCCGGACUUUUUUUUUUUUUUGAGAUGGAGUUUCGCUCUGUCACCCAGGCUGGAGUGUGGUGGCAUGAUCUCGGCUCACUGCAACCUCCACCUCCCAGGGUCAAGUGAUUCUCCUGGGUCAGCCUCCGGAGUAGCUGGGAUUACAGUUUUUCUUCCCAGGGUCUCCCCAAGAGCUGCUUCCUUUGACUCCUGCUGUGUGUAGUUCUGCUGACAAUGACCUGGACAGCUCUGCGCCAUGCACAGCGUCUCUUUUCUCCGACUUACCAAAUUUUAGACACUACUGACUCCUCCAUGUGAAAGAUGGGAAUUCAGCUACAUCACAUUACCCUACAAACUUUAUUGUUAAUAUUUCUUCCCGGUCAGCCCCAAACACUGAAUGUAAAUACGGUCCAACAUCAACCUGCAAACGAACACUGACAUGAAAGUGCAGUUGGAAAGGAUCUCGCAAAGGAACAGAAUCUGGUGAUCCUAAUCGUAAUGAACGUGAUCGCCGGGUAUUGAGAGCUUGCAGGUACCAGGGCUCCGGCACUACGUGUUUCACAGGGGCCACUCGGUAGACCUCUUGGUGACCUUGAGGUCAGGUACCACGUUCCCAUUUUACAGAGGAGGAAACUGAGAUAACCUACGACAGCGAAAAGGUAGCAGAGCUGGGACUGGUGCCCAGGCUCGCCGAGUGGAAAAGCCCUCGGCCACCGUGGAGAGCUCGCUUCCUGUGGUCUGAAGCGUCGCCCCUGCACCGGCUUCUGCUGCCAAGGAUGGCUUUUCCUCACUGGUGCCCACCUACGCUCACUUGUGUCAUGUGGUUAAGCCCUUUUGGCAACAUAAGACCUUUCCCAAGAAUGUGCCUCGGUGCAGAGGAAGACGGUGGGGGCAGGCCCCCUCCCCGGGAUGCUCCACCCUCCCUGACCUCACACGGGUGCAACCUGGGCCGUGGCCGAGACCUGCUGUGUGGCAGACAAUGGGAAGCCUGUGUGUCGUCCUGGGUGCCGGAUUUAGACAAUAUUUAGCUUUCCCUUGGUGGAAAAGCCUUUCCCCUCCUGCUUUGGGCAGGAACUGGUUCCUGUUGGGCGGGGCCUGGCUGCUGCCCCACCCCCACCCGGCCGGGCACCUUGACCGGCAGCUCUCCGGGCUGCUCCCUGCCUGUGUCCCUGAGCACUGACUCCAGAGGUUUAAUCAUUAACGGGCACGUUUGGCCUUCGGUCGUGGGCUGGAAUUUGGGACCUGUGCCCGGGAACAAUGAUCUCCGACACAUUAUUUUGUGUAAAAUCACUUUUAGCUGCCAUUAGCUAAUAAAGCUGGAAUAAAGUGAGGUCCAUUAACCA